GUUAAGAUGGUCAAUGUUGUGUGU
rnacentral:miRNA from 1 species